GUAAAGUUACGCUGACUUGUAUUUCAUACGAAGUUUGCAUUAUUAUGAAAACACAAAAAAUAUAUAUAUUGCAUUUAUGUACGUGAGGGCACGUUGCGGCUGACAAAAUUGACCUUAGUGAGAUAAUUAAAAACAAUUGUUUUUAUCGGGACGGCAUUGUGAAGAUGUGGAUAUAAAACUGCGGACCCAAGGAGUAACUUCGACACUUCGGCUGCUGCAAACAAAGAAGAUGAUUUGCGGUCGUUACGUAUUGGUUGCUCUGACUCUAUUUUGCCUCCUCUCUUCGUCACAGUUGGGAGGUCCGACAUGCGUUCUUGCAAGUGGCUGGCAAAGGCUAGGUCACGGUUACGUCACAAGAACUACUCGUUCUACUACACGGAGCACUACGCCCCGCUCAUCUAAAUCAUGCGGAUAAAAGGGUCCAAAUUCUGCAAGAUUUUGGUUACGGCAUACGAGGCAGCGACAUCAAUGUGGAAAAUGCCAGAAUAAAUAAACCACUUAUUUCCUUAAGAUUCCGAGCUCAAUCACUUAAGCUGGGAAAAUUGUGGCGAAGGAAUCAUGCGUGAUAAAAUGUUAGCAAGCGUUG